rnacentral:rRNA from 1 species
GACGAACGCUGGCGGCGUGCAUAACACAUUCAAGUCGAACGGGAAUCGAAUGAUUGAGACUUCGGUUGAUAGAUUUCGAGGAUAGUGGCGGACGGGUGAGUAACGCGUGAGCAACCUGCCUUCAUGAGGGGGAUAACAGUUGGAAACGACUGCUAAUACCGCAUAAAACUUUUUGGGGGCAUCCCUGAAAAGUCAAAGAUUUAUUGCUGAAAGAUGGCCUCGCGUCUGAUUAGCUAGUUGGUGGGGUAACGGCCCACCAAGGCGACGAUCAGUAGCCGGUCUGAGAGGAUGAACGGCCACAUUGGGACUGAGAUACGGCCCAGACUCCUACGGGAGGCAGCAGUGGGGAAUAUUGGGCAAUGGGGGAAACCCUGACCCAGCAACGCCGCGUGAAGGAAGAAGGCUUUCGGGUUGUAAACUUCUUUUACCAGGGACGAAGAACGUGACGGUACCUGGAGAAAAAGCAACGGCUAACUACGUG